rnacentral:lncRNA from 1 species
UGCGGCAUAGAAUUAUUGGUUAAUUAGGUGUCUAUGUUCUGGCCAACUAUCUUAUCCUGUUUCUACUAGAAAACAUGUAAUAUUGAAAAAGAUAUUAAAAUCAAUUCCACAAACUAUAGUAUUCAGAAAGAUAAUGAAAAUGUGAAAAUAUGAUUUACAUGAUAAUAAGCCUAUAAAUCGUAUGGCACAUCUCUUGCUCAAAGUUUCUAUUUAUGAUCCACCAUCCGUUUAGA